CUCUAAAAUCCCUUUGUAAGCGGAAGCAAGCUUUUAAUGAGUAUCUGAGCCAAAAAAAAAAAACUGGAAGCUGAAGAGAGGCGUGUUAAACAGAAAAAAGCUCGGGAAGAUUUCAGGAUAAUGUUAGAAGAUUGCAAGGAGAUGUCACCA